UCCCAGGUGGCUCAGUGGUAAAGAAUUUGCCUGCAAUGCAGGAGAUGCAGGUUCAACUCCUGGGCUAGGAA
rnacentral:tRNA from 1 species